rnacentral:lncRNA from 1 species
AUUUAUCAGGUGCCGGGCAUGGGCCUCAUGUGUUUUAUGUAAUUCAAUCCUCCCAACAAAAGUAUGAGAGCCAGCCCUGCAGCACAGCCUUCAACAUGAGCAACUCCUGCUCUCUGUAGCUCCAGCCCCAGCCUGGACCUAUCUUUCAGAGCCAUAAUGCUGAGACAGUCCCUGAGUCUUGGAUGAACACGUGAGUACCUCCACGUGGUAACUGUGAAGGAGCCAUGGCACACCCAUCUUUCAUGGAGCCGGGGCCUGCCCACCUCCUCCCUGGGCCAGCCACACCAGUGUUCCCAGUUCUUGAGUCCCUCUGGGUCCUUCCU